rfam:Ciona savignyi cont_42836, whole genome shotgun sequence.
UCCCAGGUGGUCUAUUGGUUAGGAUUCGUGGCUCUCACCCACGCGGCCCGGGUUCGAUUCCCGGUCUGGGAA